rnacentral:rRNA from 1 species
GUCGAGCGGUAAGGCCCUUCGGGGUACACGAGCGGCGAACGGGUGAGUAACACGUGGGUGAUCUGCCCUGCACUUCGGGAUAAGCCUGGGAAACUGGGUCUAAUACCGGAUAUGACCUUCGGCUGCAUGGCUGAGGGUGGAAAGGUUUACUGGUGCAGGAUGGGCCCGCGGCCUAUCAGCUUGUUGGUGGGGUAAUGGCCUACCAAGGCGACGACGGGUAGCCGACCUGAGAGGGUGACCGGCCACACUGGGACUGAGACACGGCCCAGACUCCUACGGGAGGCAGCAGUGGGGAAUAUUGCACAAUGGGCGAAAGCCUGAUGCAGCGACGCCGCGUGAGGGAUGACGGCCUUCGGGUUGUAAACCUCUUUCAGCAGGGACGAAGCGAAAGUGACGGUACCUGCAGAAGAAGCACCGGCCAACUACGUGCCAGCAGCCGCGGUAAUACGUAGGGUGCAAGCGUUGUCCGGAAUUACUGGGCGUAAAGAGCUCGUAGGCGGUUUGUCGCGUCGUCUGUGAAAACUCGCGGCUCAACCGCGAGCUUGCAGGCGAUACGGGCAGACUUGAGUACUGCAGGGGAGACUGGAAUUCCUGGUGUAGCGGUGAAAUGCGCAGAUAUCAGGAGGAACACCGGUGGCGAAGGC